GACGAACGCUGGCGGCGUGCUUAACACAUGCAAGUCGAACGCUGAAGCUUGGUGCUUGCACUGGGUGGAUGAGUGGCGAACGGGUGAGUAAUACGUGAGUAACCUGCCCUUGACUCUGGGAUAAGCCUGGGAAACUGGGUCUAAUACUGGAUACGACAUGCCACUGCAUGGUGGUGUGUGGAAAGGGUUUUACUGGUUUUGGAUGGGCUCACGGCCUAUCAGCUUGUUGGUGGGGUAAUGGCCUACCAAGGCGACGACGGGUAGCCGGCCUGAGAGGGUGACCGGCCACACUGGGACUGAGACACGGCCCAGACUCCUACGGGAGGCAGCAGUGGGGAAUAUUGCACCAUGGGCGGAAGCCUGAUGCAGCGACGCCGCGUGAGGGAUGACGGCCUUCGGGUUGUAAACCUCUUUCAGCACGGAAGAAGCGAGAGUGACGGUACGUGCAGAAGAAGCGCCGGCUAACUACGUG
rnacentral:rRNA from 1 species